UUUCUUACUGAAAGAAAACCUUCAAUUUCUGUAAAUCCCGACUCUUGAUUUACUGUGUAUCAACAAAUAGCGUUAUAUAAGGCAACUUUGUACGGUCUUCCUACGAGAUAUGUGUCAAUGACGUUUUAUAAGAUGAUCGUUGGAGGAGAAAAUAUUUAUUCAACACCAGAUGAGAAGACAUAAUGAAGCAAUUACUCCAGUAGAUGUGGUUAAAGUUCAAGAUAUAACUCAAGAGAGAGGUCUGAUUGAAGUUACUCAGUUGGAGAUGAAGUAUAAAUAAAUGAAAAAAAAGUAUUUAAAAAAAGAUAUUUCUAUUAGAGUAAAUGAAGAUGAUUUAUGACUAAUUUUAGACUGAAGAUAUCAUUAGUUUAAUAGCACUCAGAGACACUUGAUGACACGUACAUGAUCGGCAAUGUUCGUAGAGGGGUUAGCAGGACAGUACAAUUAUUUCAAGACACCUAUCUACCCCAGUAUUGUGCUUUGAAUAUCGAAUCAAUUGCACAGCGUUAUUAUUAAUGGAACAAAAAGCAAAACAGAUCUCUAGAUCAUAUUCUUGCACAAAGCUUCACUGAUAAAAAUUAUUUCAACACAACUCUACAAGACAUGUACAAUAUUAAUAAAUAAAAAAAUACCUAC